UGCCCGUGUCUUCUUUUCUGGUUCGCAUGCACAUUUAUAUGUAUCUGUCUUUUUUCUCUACUUCAACCAUCUCUCUGUAGACACAAAGUACUAUACUCCAUUAUUCAUGGCUGCCUUAAGCUUCAUAAUUGGUAUCAUUGGUCAGUUCCUCUCUCCUCUCAUUAUUUCUCCAUAUUUGAGCUUCAUGGGUUUUUUAUAAUUCAUUUUGUGUUUGUUAGAUUUCUCUCAAUUUCAUGUUAUGUGUCGUCUACAGGUAAUAUCAUUUCUAUUCUGGUUUUUGCUUCUCCCAUGUAAGUACCGGCCAUGAAAAAUUAUUGAUUUUUCCUGUUUUCGUAUAUCGGUUUUAUAGAUUUAGAUCCUUUAUCUGGCUCAGAUUAACUUCGGCAUGUGCAAUUUGGAUCGGUUUGAUAAUACUUCUGCCAUAUGAUUGGCUAGAAAGUAGUUUUCUUUUCUGAUAAAGGUACCAUGUUAAAAGCAAUACUGAAAACCUAUGCAUACUCGGUGGGAGCACCGUCUCCCCUUUUCUCUAUAUCUUAGUAGUCACUUCUCUGGUUCUAAGGCCAUCCCUUGCUUUAGGAAUAGGGGACAGCUCUCCUCUCCUCCCCUAGUUUGGUUGCGUAUAGUUUUGUCGUAUUGUGAUUUAUUAUGAUUAUGUAAAGAAAAUAAGCUGGACAUUAACUACCUCAAACGGAGAAGAAGGUUUAUUUGAGUUUGUAUACAGUAGAAAUAUUUUAUUUCAAAUUAGUAUAUAACAACAUAUACCCUCAUAUUUAGAUAUGAACUUCUGAACGUAAUGUCUAAAUCUUAUAUAUAACACAAACAUUAUCCCAAAUCAACAUAAGACAAUCAAACCAAAUCUAGUACAUUCUUUGCGAGGGAUGUUGCGAAAAUCUGUUAUGGUUGAUGUUUCAAUAGUUUUCUACAUUGGUUAAUAAUCUUGCUAGCUAGUAUUAUGUGAGACACUGUUAGUAGUGAUGGAUCCAAAAUUUUUUUUUUCAUAUACAUAUAAAAAAAUACAUAUAUUAAAAAUAAGAUUUUCAAUUUAACUUUUUAAAUAAGCAAAAUUCAAGACACAUAAAUAACCAACUAAAUUUUAAUUUUUAUUAGGAAGAGGAUUAAAUAAUUAAAUUUACGAGGAAUCA
rnacentral:misc_RNA from 1 species